UAAUUUGAGAGUUUGAUCCUGGCUCAGGACGAACGCUGGCGGCGUGCCUAAUACAUGCAAGUCGAACGAACUCUGGUAUUGAUUGGUGCUUGCAUCAUGAUUUACAUUUGAGUGAGUGGCGAACUGGUGAGUAACACGUGGGAAACCUGCCCAGAAGCGGGGGAUAACACCUGGAAACAGAUGCUAAUACCGCAUACAACUUGGACCGCAUGGUCCGAGCUUGAAAGAUGGCUUCGGCUAUCACUUUUGGAUGGUCCCGCGGCGUAUUAGCUAGAUGGUGGGGUAACGGCUCACCAUGGCAAUGAUACGUAGCCGACCUGAGAGGGUAAUCGGCCACAUUGGGACUGAGACACGGCCCAAACUCCUACGGGAGGCAGCAGUAGGGAAUCUUCCACAAUGGACGAAAGUCUGAUGGAGCAACGCCGCGUGAGUGAAGAAGGGUUUCGGCUCGUAAAACUCUGUUGUUAAAGAAGAACAUAUCUGAGAGUAACUGUUCAGGUAUUGACGGUAUUUAACCAGAAAGCCACGGCUAACUACGUGCCAGCAGCCGCGCGUAAUACGUAGGUGGCAAGCGUUGUCCGGAUUUAUUGGGCGUAAAGCGAGCGCAGGCGGUUUUUUAAGUCUGAUGUGAAAGCCUUCGGCUCAACCGAAGAAGUGUGCAUCGGAAACUGGGAAACUUGAGUGCAGAAGAGGACAGUGGAACUCCAUGUGUAGCGGUGAAAUGCGUAGAUAUAUGGAAGAACACCAGUGGCGAAGGCGGCUGUCUGGUCUGUAACUGACGCUGAGGCUCGAAAGUAUGGGUAGCAAACAGGAUUAGAUACCCUGGUAGUCCAUACCGUAAACGAUGAAUGCUAAGUGUUGGAGGGUUUCCGCCCUUCAGUGCUGCAGCUAACGCAUUAAGCAUUCCGCCUGGGGAGUACGGCCGCAAGGCUGAAACUCAAAGGAAUUGACGGGGGCCCACAAGCGGUGGAGCAUGUGGUUUAAUUCGAAGCUACGCGAAGAACCUUACCAGGUCUUGACAUACUAUGCAAAUCUAAGAGAUUAGACGUUCCCUUCGGGGACAUGGAUACAGGUGGUGCAUGGUUGUCGUCAGCUCGUGUCGUGAGAUGUUGGGUUAAGUCCCGCAACGAGCGCAACCCUUAUUAUCAGUUGCCAGCAUUAAGUUGGGCACUCUCUGGUGAGACUGCCGGUGACAAACCGGAGGAAGGUGGGGAUGACGUCAAAUCAUCAUGCCCCUUAUGACCUGGGCUACACACGUGCUACAAUGGAUGGUACAACGAGUUGCGAACUCGCGAGAGUAAGCUAAUCUCUUAAAGCCAUUCUCAGUUCGGAUUGUAGGCUGCAACUCGCCUACAUGAAGUCGGAAUCGCUAGUAAUCGCGGAUCAGCAUGCCGCGGUGAAUACGUUCCCGGGCCUUGUACACACCGCCCGUCACACCAUGAGAGUUUGUAACACCCAAAGUCGGUGGGGUAACCUUUUAGGAACCAGCCGCCUAAGGUGGGACAGAUGAUUAGGGUGAAGUCGUAACAAGGUAGCCGUAGGAGAACCUGCGGCUGGAUCACCUCCUUU
rnacentral:rRNA from 1 species